rnacentral:rRNA from 1 species
AGCGAACGCUGGCGGCAGGCCUAAUACAUGCAAGUCGAGCGCACCUUCGGGUGAGCGGCGGACGGGUGAGUAACGCGUGGGAACGUGCCCUUUGGUUCGGAACAACACAGGGAAACUUGUGCUAAUACCGAAUGUGCCCUUCGGGGGAAAGAUUUAUCGCCAUUGGAGCGGCCCGCGUUGGAUUAGCUAGUUGGUGGGGUAAAGGCCCACCAAGGCGACGAUCCAUAGCUGGUCUGAGAGGAUGAUCAGCCACACUGGGACUGAGACACGGCCCAGACUCCUACGGGAGGCAGCAGUAGGGAAUCUUGCGCAAUGGGCGAAAGCCUGACGCAGCCAUGCCGCGUGAAUGAUGAAGGUCUUAGGAUUGUAAAAUUCUUUCACCGGGGAAGAUAAUGACGGUACCCGGAGAAGAAGCCCCGGCUAACUUCGUGCCAGCAGCCGCGGUAAUACGAAGGGGGCUAGCGUUGCUCGGAAUUACUGGGCGUAAAGGGCGCGUAGGCGGACAGUUUAGUCAGAGGUGAAAGCCCAGGGCUCAACCUUGGAACUGCCUUUGAUACUGGCUGUCUUGAGUUCGGGAGAGGUGAGUGGAAUGCCGAGUGUAGAGGUGAAUUCGUAGAUAUUCGGCGGAACACCAGUGGCGAAGGCGACUCACUGGCCCGAUACUGACGCUGAGGCGCGAAAGCGUGGGGAGCAAACAGG